rnacentral:rRNA from 1 species
CUACGGGAUGCUGCAGUGGGGAAUAUUGCACAAUGGAGGAAACUCUGAUGCAGCAACGCCGCGUGGAGGAUGACACUUUUCGGAGCGUAAACUCCUUUUAUAUAGGAAGAAGAUGACGGUACUAUAUGAAUAAGCGCCGGCUAACUCCGUGCCAGCAGGCCGCGGUAAUACGGAGGGCGCAAGCGUUGCUCGGAAUCACUGGGCGUAAAGAGCGUGUAGGCGGAUUAAAAAGUCAGAAGUGAAAUCCUAUAGCUUAACUAUAGAACUGCUUCUGAAACUCUUAAUCUAGAAUAUGGGAGAGGUAGAUGGAAUUUCUGGUGUAGGGGUAAAAUCCGUAGAGAUCAGAAGGAAUACCGAUUGCGAAGGCGAUCUACUAGAACAUUAUUGACGCUGAGACGCGAAAGCGUGGGGAGCAAACAGGAUUAGAUACCCGCGUAGUC